UUAGCUCUUUAUUCCAUGAAACACAUUCAAAUUCUUCAUGCUGAAUUGAUGAUUCAUGUAAUCUAUAUGGCUCCACCGCCCAUCCUGGCCUUCCCUCGCCCAUUCAUUUAUUUUUAGUUUUUUUAGUUCAUUCCAUCCAAAAAAUGAAGAGACCUCACUCUAGAAAGUGAGGCACUCAAAAACCACACCCUCCUCCACAAAAUUCUACGUCAUCUUUUCUAAAAAAUAUUCACUCUCUCAGUCUCUCUCUUCAAUUGUACACUCGUGUUUCUCAGGCGCUGAACUCUGCAAGUAUGUAUUCCAGUCUUCACAUUCUCCACUUCCAAUUGAAACCGCUCUCUUUCUGAUUCACUCCUCUCAAAUCCCUGAAAUUUCUGCACUUCCGAAUCUGUUAUUCCCCACGUUCUCCCAUUUCAGAUAUAAUGGAUUUCAAAUUGACUCUCAAUUUCAAUUUCGAAAAUCCAGCGCCUUGGGGAAAAAAUUGGGGCUUUUUCAGGGGAAAACUUACGGGUUUCAUAAUCAUCUUUUUGGGUUGCCACAACCUCCAGCCAUUGAAAACCCUUCUCCCGCGCGCCUUGCUAGAUUCCGCAGCCGUUCACCUGUGCGAAGGUCAAGAACUUAGGUAUAUACCAUCCAAAUUGGCUAUUGGCUACUGAUAUUAUCACAAUAACUGGUGUUGUGAACUUAACAAAAGUAAAGCUUGCGGCAUUCUUUGUUUGCUGCGAUCCAGAGAAAAGCUCAUAUACUGGAGUUGACUUCAACCGAAUAUAUAUUCACUGAUUGUGAGGCUCACAAGGUGGUUCCUUUUUUCCUCCCUUUGAUCAAAGGCUACUGGCGGAGGAGGAGAAAAAUUCUAAAGAGCAAGAAAAUCCCAGCCCCGAUGAAAGGAAAAAAGAGGUUCCUACUGUACCUUUUUUUACAUAGUUUAGUGAGUCAAAGGGUGCAUUUUCUCAAGACUUAAGGUAUGUCCUCUUUUCUAAUGUAUGAUAUUUCAUAUUUGAUUUUGUGAUCUGGGACAUUCUAUGUUUAAGUGAUUUAGCAAAAAUGAAAUCAUUUCACAUGUCCCUUUUCUGACCUCCUUCUCUGUCUUCAGUGGUUUCAUUUAUUGACUCCCCAAAUUCAUAUUAACCCUUCAUGCAGGAAUAUAGUUGUCUAUGCCACUAACCUCACUUCCUAAUCAUCUCCACUAUUAUGCUUUCUGUGGAAGGCUUCAAGAGAUAGUUUUCUAAUUACAGAACUUAUUUUAAUUUGAUCAUGUAGAAAACUAAGAGAAGGACUGCAGAACUUUUCUGCAAACUAUAAUUACAGAACUUAUUAUAAUAUCUUUUCUUCUUUUGUGGGUUCAACUUUGUGCAAACUAUUAUUGCAUCUCCUUGAUUUGUUGCAUGUGAAUAUCUGCAAGAAGGAGGAGGAGAUGAAUUCUUCCGCUAUAUGUAUUUAUACAUUUAUUUCACUGCUUUAUGUGGUUGUGAUUUAUCAUGUUUUCCUUCCUUCUACAUGUUUCAUUUUUCUCUUAUGCUUGCUUCUCUAUCCUGAUUUAAUCUAUGGGUGCCUAUAUAGGUUGCGUUAGAAAAGAGAAUUUUCUCUUUUAUCAUUGAUCUUCAAGUGAGUUCUUAAUAUGACUAUAUUAUAAUUCUAAUUUUAAGUUUUUAACUACCGUGAUUGUAAGUUUUAUAGUGUGGUGGACCCUAAACUCAUCCCAUUCCAAAAAUCCAUUUUUCUGCAUUCUUAUUCUCAUUAUCUUAUUGAAUUUCUUCAUACUGGGAUCUGUUUUAACUCUUGAAUGACAUUUGAAAGCUUCCCAAAUGCAUGUAUUUUCUCAUGGAAAUUCCAACAGAGUUGAGAAUUUUUUUUCCUAUAAAUUCUCUGUAAUAUAGCAAGUGGAUUAAUUGAGUGAAUUUUUUUUUCUUCACCUGAAUUCACUCUUGGAACUCGAGAGAGGAGCAACUUAGUGUAUCUUUUUUAUUUAUUCUCUUAAACUUUUCCUCUUUCUCUUCAAUCCUUUUCUUUUCUUGGCAUUUUGGUAAAUAGAUGGUGAGCCAAUUUAGUCAAAGUUUGCAAAGAUUAAUGAAUAGGUUUCAAUUCUAAUGAGAUGCAUUGCAGUCACUUUCUCCAACAACUUGAAAACGUGUUACAUUUAGUUUAUGAAAACGUUUGUCACCGUAAGUGUACUGAUUGUAGUCAAUUAAAUGACAGAACUAUUUUUUAUUUGAUCAUCUGAUCUGAUAUUGCUCUAUUUGUUUUAUUGCAGAAGAAUCUGUAUUACAUUUAAUUUAUCAUAUAUUGAAAUUCGAUUACAUCAGCUGUUUUCUGAAUGAGUCAUGGUUAGACAACGGUUUUAGCAUUUUAGGUGCUGCUAGAUGAUUUUUUGGCGUUGCAAUAGGUAACCAACAUACUUUCUCUUUUACAUUAGUUGUCUUUUUAUACUCAAGCUAGAAUUUUCACAUAUUUUUGGUGCUGCUCGAUUGAACUUAUUAUCAAGUAGUAUUUUUAAUUGAUGUUGUCACUUCUCAGUUUCUUCUUUGUUUGGUGGUUCUUUACAUUUAGAAUGGAUAUGAAGGUGAUGACACUUUGAAAUUUUUAGUUCAUUUUCAUUUAAUUUUUAAAUUAGUUGGAAGCUCUCCUUUUCCCCCACUUUUUAACUCUAUUCUAUCUUUUGUUUUCAUUUCUCUCUAUAGGGAAAUGGUUUGUAAAGUCAUCCAAUGCUACAAGGAAACGGAUACUGGACUGGAGGUUUAUUUUCAGAAUUUUAGUUCAGAAUUGUCUGGACACAGAAAUACUGAAAUAUGUUGAGGAAGCUUUAUCCAAAAGGUGUCUACGCAGUCUACUGUGGAAAUUGGAUAGAUGUUGAAGGUCAGGUUCUGAUUUUGAACUUGCUGUGGGGAUCUCUGCUACUAGGCAUAACCUACAAAAUUUUUGGGACAAUGUUAGAUAAUCAAGAUUCCAGGCAGGGCAACGUCGGGGAAGAGGCAGAGCAUGGAUAGAGCUAUUAACGUAAUAUACACAACAAUUUAUGAUGCAACUUGGCUGGAAACAUUUGUAGCAACUUGGCUGGAAAAUAUUUUGAAUCUGGCUGCAGAUCAAAAGAUUUGUGUAAACUGAUUCUAUGCUUUGUUAUUAUGCAAGGUGUCACUGUUAGCAUGAGAACAACAUGCUUUUAAUUCUCUUUGACUAUCUAUUUAUCCACCAGAAAAAAUAACAAUUUCAUGCUAAAAUCGAACUAUUUUCUUUUUAUAUCAAGGAUGGAAAUUUUUUGCUUCUAUUAUAGAA